AAUAAGCUUUUGGGAAUUUGCAAGCUGAAAUUCAGUAACGAUUCAUCUUGGAUGUGAUCUUUAACUAUACUUGUAUUUCUGAAUCCUAUUAUGUUGUUUGCAAUUUCAUGAAAGAGGCAUUAAGAGGUUGCAUUCUGUGUGUGCAAUGAGGUGGUAGACAUCCACAGUGCCACUUUAUAGUCCUAGAAUCUGUGGUUAAUUCCAAAGGACCUACUUGGAGCUAUUGGAUAGUGGAAGACCUCCUAAGGGGUACCCCAAUUUCUUGACUUUUGAAUUUUUGUGUUGUGGCUUUGACAUCUUCCCAGUAUUCCUGGAGUGAUGUUCUUUUCCUGUUCUAUUUCCUCAUCCUCAAGCAUAGAGAAUUUAUUGUUUUGCGAUAGUUUUCAGAGUCUGUUGGCUGCCGAGAGGCAACUUGGAUCUGACUUCCUUGACUUUUGGGGCAAGGCCUCACAAUUAUAACAACCUAAAAUGUCUCUGGUACUCAGAGCGAGCAUCACCCUUUUGUUGUUUUCUUUGGUACUGGCAAUCUUUAGCGAGAUGACCACACAAGUAGCAGUCCAUCAGUUUCUUUCUUUAUGACAUCCUCAGGUCAUGAGUGCGUUACAACUUCACUUUGUUGCAUCUGCAUGCCAAAAGCUCUACUUGCUUGGAGAGCACUGAUGUUUUAAGUGAUGCUCUGUCACACCACUUCAUGACACCAUUUCAUUUCACCUGAACAGGAAAUAUCUUUUUCUUAUUUACAUUCUCUAUCCAGAGAUAUUUACUUGGUCAUCUUCCAAGUAUCUUUCCACAGCCAGCUCUCUGAUCUUUCCACAGCCAGCUCUCUAAUCUUUCCACAGCCAGCUCUCUGAUCUUUCCACAGCCAGCUCUCUGAUAUUUCCACAGCCAGCUCUCUGAUCUUUCCACAGCCAGCUCUCUGAUCUUUCCACAGCCAGCUCUCUGAUCUUACCUCUCUGAUUUUCUCUUUUAGUUGCAUUUCAGUUGUUUGCUUCUUAAUCCAUACAUCUUUCAAACUCAAUCAUUACAGAAUUGUUCCAUCUUUCCAUUAACUUUUUCCAACUCAAUCAAUCAUUAGAGAUUUGUUCCAUCUUUCCAUCAAAACUCAUUGUUCCAUCUUUCCAUUAACUCUUACCAACUCAAUCAAUCAUUAGAGAUUUGUUCCAUCUUUCCUUUAGCCCUUUCUAACUCACUCAAUCCUUUAACCCUUUACAACUUGAUUAACCCAUGCCAUGGAUUAAACAUGACAUGGCCCGAAGUAUGCUGAUGUGCCACAUAAUCUGAUCAACCAAUAAACCUUCUCCAGCUUUAUCAACCCAUCAAUUUAUCCCACCCAGUCAAUUCAUACAACUUGUCCAUUAUAUCAACCCAUAAACCCUUUUCAAAACAAAGCGGACUACAUGGAAGAUUAUGUUACCAGGAAACUUGUUUAAUGUUCAAGUUCAGCAGCUACAUCAAAUGAAUCUGAAACUGCUACAUCAAACGACUACUUAGAACAUGCUUAUACUUAGAUCUGCAGCUACAUCAAUUGAAUCUGAAACUGCUACAUCAAAUGACUACUUAGAAAUGCUUAUACUUGGUUCAGCAGCUACAUCAAAUGAAUCUGAAACUGCUACAUCAAAUGACUACUUAGAAAUGCUUAUACUUGGUUCAGCAGCUACAUCAAAUGAAUCUGAAACUGCUACAUCAAAUGACUACUUAGAACAUGCUUAUACUUAGUUCAGCAGCUACAUCUAAUGAAUCUGAAACUGCUACAUCAAAUGACUACUUAGAAAUGCUUAUACUUAGUUCAGCAGCUACAUCUAAUGAAUCUGAAACUGCUACAUCAAAUGAAUUUGAAACUGCUACAUCAAACGACUACUUAGAAAAUGCUUAUACUUGGUUCAGCAGCUACAUCAAUUGAAUCUGAAACUGCUACAUCAAAUGAAUAAGAACAUACUUAUACUUAGAUCUGCAGCUACAUCAAAUGACUACUUGAAACAUCAGCACCUAGUUCAACAGCUACAUUAAAUGAAUCUGAAAAUGCUAUACCAAAUGACUACUUAGAACAUGCUUAUAGUUAGAUCUUCAGCUACAUCAAAUAACUACUUAGACCACCAGCACCUAGUUCAUUUUCUACACCAGGAAAACUACUAGAGCACUUGCUAGUAUCUUGUUCAGGAGUCUAAUCAAAAUGAAAAGUGGUUACAUAUACAUCAACAAAGGACUAAAGGAAACUACAAAUCAAAGAACUCUUGAGAAAGACAAUGUCUACCCAUGAAAGAAAUCUUGUUUGUUUGGACACUGAAGUUGUAGUUGAAUGGUUCAUGGCAACAUGUCCUGUGCUUCUACAAAGUGACCACUAGAAACUACACUUACUGAACUUCUUCAUGCCAUGAGAGUAAACCUCCACACAGUGUAAUGGCUAUGACUGAAAUCUCUCCUGCUCUGUUCUCUGCUCAUCCUGCAUUUCAUAAUAGAGUCUGUUGCCUAAUCCAGUUUUCCAGACAUUCUGAUGAAAAUGUUUAAAGCCACAUUGUACAGACCAGCAUUGUUUCCAGGAGACUUUGAUAGCUUCACUAUUCAUUCUUUGUUAUUGAAAGUUACUUAAAAAUAAAAUUGCAACAAAUAUACAUUACAAAUAUUUUGCAUGUCUUAUAAGCUAGUCCCUAUGGCAAAAUAUUUUGCCUUUUGGGUUUGUGAAAUGUCAUCAGCUGGGUAGGUUUUUGUGCAUCUCACUCGAGACAAAUGGAUAAGAUAACAUAUUUAACUUGUAUCUAUAAAUCGGAAAUACCAAUACAAUGUUUGUUGAUGUUACAUUUGUAUCUGUUAUUAUUUUUCUUGUUUACAAAAUCUUGUGAACAAAGUGGAAGCAUUUUUUUUCU
rnacentral:sRNA from 1 species